UUUCGGCGUCGGCCUAGGUGCGCUGCGAGCGCGCGCGGACCGCGCACAGGCGGCGGAACCGGUAUGGGCCCGCCUGGCCCUGGGCGCCGCGCCGCACGAGCACCAACCUAGAGCCAGGACUGAAGCUUCAAGAUGGCUGACCAGGACCCUGCGGGCAUCAGCCCCCUCCAGCAAAUGGUGGCCUCAGGCGCCGGGGCUGUGGUUACCUCUCUCUUCAUGACACCCCUGGACGUGGUGAAGGUUCGCCUGCAGUCUCAGCGGCCCUCCAUGGCCAGCGAGCUGAUGCCUUCCUCCAGACUGUGGAGCCUCUCCUAUACCAAAUGGAAGUGCCUCCUGUACUGCAAUGGUGUCCUGGAGCCUCUGUACCUGUGCCCAAAUGGUGCCCGCUGUGCCACCUGGUUUCAAGACCCUACCCGCUUCACUGGCACCAUGGAUGCCUUCGUGAAGAUCGUGAGGCACGAGGGCACCAGGACCCUCUGGAGCGGCCUCCCCGCCACCCUGGUGAUGACUGUGCCAGCUACCGCCAUCUACUUCACUGCCUAUGACCAACUGAAGGCCUUCCUGUGUGGUCGAGCCCUGACCUCUGACCUCUACGCACCCAUGGUGGCUGGCGCGCUGGCCCGCCGUGAGCAUAGUCUUGGGCCUUUGACCUCCCUCUGUCCCCACCUCUGCCCAAGCCCAGUCAGUCCCAGCUCCCAGCCCCAACCUCUGCCAGCCUGGGGAUGGGGGGGUGUUCUAGGUCCCCAGACCUGGGACAGCAGGUAGGUGAUGCCAUGUAAGACCUGUGACCUCACCUCUCCCCAUUGUCACCCCCAAUCCCCACACAGUGGGCACCGUGACUGUGAUCAGCCCCCUGGAGCUUAUGCGGACAAAGCUGCAGGCUCAGCAUGUGUCGUACCGGGAGCUGGGUGCCUGUGUUCGAACUGCAGUGGCUCAGGGUGGCUGGCGCUCACUGUGGCUGGGCUGGGGCCCCACUGCCCUUCGAGAUGUGCCCUUCUCAGGUAGGCACCCAAGCUGCAGGGGGUGGGUGAGGGAACCCUGGGGUGAUGCACAAAGGGUCUACAGCCAAGUCCCAGCUUUGUGACUAGUGACCAUGAAGUUACUUAGCUUUUCUGAGCCAU
rnacentral:sRNA from 1 species